rnacentral:rRNA from 1 species
GAUGAACGCUGGCGGCGUGCCUAAUACAUGCAAGUCGAGCGAACAGACGAGGAGCUUACUCCUCUGACGUUAGCGGCGGACGGGUGAGUAACACGUGGAUAACCUACCUAUAAGACUGGGAUAACUUCGGGAAACCGGAGCUAAUACCGGAUAACAUGUUGAACCGCAUGGUUCAACAGUGAAAGACGGUCUUGCUGUCACUUAUAGAUGGAUCCGCGUCGCAUUAGCUAGUUGGUAAGGUAACGGCUUACCAAGGCAACGAUGCGUAGCCGACCUGAGAGGGUGAUCAGCCACACUGGAACUGAGACACGGUCCAGACUCCUACGGGAGGCAGCAGUAGGGAAUCUUCCGCAAUGGGCGAAAGCCUGACGGAGCAACGCCGCGUGAGUGAAGAAGGUCUUCGGAUCGUAAAACUCUGUUAUUAGGGAAGAACAAAUGUGUAAGUAACUAUGCACGUCUUGACGGUACCUAAUCAGAAAGCCACGGCUAACUACGUG